AGUUUGAUCCUGGCUCAGGAUGAACGCUAGCUACAGGCUUAACACAUGCAAGUCGAGGGGCAGCAUUGGGGUAGCAAUACUUCAGAUGGCGACCGGCGCACGGGUGAGUAACACGUAUCCAACCUGCCGCUUACUCGGGGAUAGCCUUUCGAAAGAAAGAUUAAUACCCGAUGGUAUAAAGAGUUCGCAUGUUCUCUUUAUUAAAGAAUUUCGGUAAGCGAUGGGGAUGCGUUCCAUUAGAUAGUUGGCGGGGUAACGGCCCACCAAGUCUACGAUGGAUAGGGGUUCUGAGAGGAAGGUCCCCCACAUUGGAACUGAGACACGGUCCAAACUCCUACGGGAGGCAGCAGUGAGGAAUAUUGGUCAAUGGACGAGAGUCUGAACCAGCCAAGUAGCGUGAAGGAUGACUGCCCUAUGGGUUGUAAACUUCUUUUAUAAGGGAAUAAAGUGAGGGACGUGUCCCUUUUUGUAUGUACCUUAUGAAUAAGGAUCGGCUAACUCCGUGCCAGCAGCCGCGGUAAUACGGAGGAUCCAAGCGUUAUCCGGAUUUAUUGGGUUUAAAGGGAGCGUAGGUUGACAUAUAAGUCAGCUGUGAAAGUUUACGGCUCAACCGUGAAAUUGCAGUUGAUACUGUAUGUCUUGAGUGUACAAGAGGUGGGCGGAAUUCGUGGUGUAGCGGUGAAAUGCUUAGAUAUCACGAAGAACUCCAAUUGCGAAGGCAGCUCACUGGGGUACAACUGACACUGAGGCUCGAAAGUGUGGGUAUCAAACAGGAUUAGAUACCCUGGUAGCCCACACAGUAAACGAUGAAUACUCGCUGUUUGCGAUAUACAGUAAGCGGCCAAGCGAAAGCAUUAAGUAUUCCACCUGGGGAGUACGCCGGCAACGGUGAAACUCAAAGGAAUUGACGGGGGCCCGCACAAGCGGAGGAACAUGUGGUUUAAUUCGAUGAUACGCGAGGAACCUUACCCGGGCUUGAAUUGCAGAGGAACAUAGUUGAAAGAUUAUGGCCGCAAGGUCUCUGUGAAGGUGCUGCAUGGUUGUCGUCAGCUCGUGCCGUGAGGUGUCGGCUUAAGUGCCAUAACGAGCGCAACCCUUAUCAUUAGUUACUAACAGGUCAUGCUGAGGACUCUAGUGAGACUGCCGUCGUAAGAUGUGAGGAAGGUGG
rnacentral:rRNA from 1 species